UACGUAGGUGGCAAGCGUUGUCCGGAAUCAUUGGGCGUAAAGAGCGCGUAGGCUGCUCGGUAAGUCCGCUGUAAAAGUCAAAGGCUUAACCUUUGAAUGUCAGUGGAAACUGCCGGGCUAGAGUCCGGAAGAGGCGAGUGGAAUUCCUGGUGUAGCGGUGGAAUGCGCAGAUAUCAGGAGGAACACCGGUGGCGAAGGCGGUUCUCUGGGCCUUACCUGACGCUGAGGAGCGAAAGCGUGGGGAGCAAACAGG
rnacentral:rRNA from 1 species